GACGAACGCUGGCGGCGUGCUUAACACAUGCCAGUCGAACGGAAAGGCCCUGCUUUUGUGGGGUGCUCGGUUGGCGAACGGGUGCGUAACACGUGUGUAACCUGCCCUUGACUUUGGGAUAACUUCAGGAAACGGGGGCUAAUACCGGAUAGGAUCUCCUGCUGCAUGGUGGGGGUUGGAAAUUUGCGGCGGGUGGGGAUGGAUUGGCGGCUAAUCAGCUUGUUGGUGGGGUAGUGGCUGACCAAGGCUUUGAAGGGUAGCCGGCCCGGGAGGGGGAACGGCCACAAGGGGACUGAGGUAGGGACCAGUGUCGUACGGGAGGCAGUGGUGGCGAGUCUGACACAGUGAGCGGACGCCGGUGGAGGCGACGCCGGGUGCGGAAUGACGGCCUUCGGGUUGUGAACCGCUUUCGCCUGUUACGAAGCGUGAGUGACGGUAAUGGGUGAAGAAGCACCGGCUAACUACGUG
rnacentral:rRNA from 1 species